UGCCGGAUCAGGUGCUGCAUGGCUGUCGUCAGCUCGUGUCGUGAGAUGUUGGGUUAAGUCCCGCAACGAGCCGCAACCCCUGUUCUUAGUUGCCAGCGAGUAAUGUCGGGGACUCUAGGAAGACUGCCGGCGCAAGCCGCGAGGAAGGUGGGGACGACGUCAAGUCAUCAUGGCCUUUAUGCCCAGGGCUACACACGUGCUACAAUGGCGGGUACAACGGGUCGCAAAGCCGCGAGGUGGAGCCAAUCCAGGAAAGCCCGUCCCAGUUCGGAUUGGAGUCUGCAACCCGACUCCAUGAAGUUGGAAUCGCUAGUAAUCGCGCAUCAGCCAUGGCGCGGUGAAUACGUUCCCGGACCUU
rnacentral:rRNA from 1 species